UUUCAGUAUCUGCACUUUCUUCACUUAAUCUUCUGCCAUCAUUACUUCUGUGUGGGCCAGUAGAUUCACCUCUCAUUCCUUCCAUGCUUACCAUUGUCUCAGUAACAGGGUCGAUAUCCAUUGAAUUGUUGAUAUCCCCUUUUUCCGCAUCCACGCUCUUAUCAUUUUUCCAUGAACCAUUAGAUUCACCCAUAAUUUCUUCAACGGCUUUAAUCUCUGUGCUACAUACCUUUUGGCCGUUGCUCUCUACCUUAUCAGCAUUUGCACUUUCUUCACAUAUCAAAUUAACACCGCCAUCAAAAUCACCUCCUCUUUCAUUCACCCCUUUGAUUUCAGCGACCAUGCUCAGUUCCCCUUGAUCACCGUCAGUGUCUGCAUUUUCAGUCUUUACACUUUGGUCACAUUGUAUCUUCUCUCCACUGCAUCCUGUGUUUGCAGCUUCUGCACUUAUGUUUCUUAAUUUUUCGUCAUCAUUUCCUUUUUCUGAACCACCGGAUUUGCCACUCAUUUCUUCAAUGCCUGUUAUCUCUGAGGCUGGAUUAUGUUCCAUUUGACCCUUAUCAGCAGGGCAAUUCAAAAUUUCUUUUGUAGACACAGCAGUGCCACUGCUAGAUGCAAUUUCACAUGCAAUAGCUGGAUUCGCCACUUCGGGCAAUUUUUCAUCAGUUAAGAUGGAUGAGCCAUUGGCAAACUCCCCAUCAACAGACAUCCUUGUGAGAGAAUGAAAGCGUCAAGCGGCAAUGUUGUUCAGCACCGCCGUAUUCCGCCGUAAGCGCUUAAUCCG
rnacentral:misc_RNA from 1 species